CUUUGUUUUUUUUUCCCCUCCUCCUUCCUGUAAAUCCAUUUUAUGCGUUGGAGUCAGAAGAUGACAUCUUGUUACAUCAUGUUAGACAGCACCAUAAUUUUUUCCAGCAGACCAUUUCCAAUCUGGCGAAGCAGACAGAGCUGAACAAAGACAGACAACCCAGCAUAAAUAAAGGAUCAGUUCAUGGCCCUGUGGGAUGGACCCAGAGGAGGCUCGUCCCCAAAUCCCAGGCCGACUUGCCAUUUUAAGGUUUAACUCCUUAGACCGAGCUGGACAAAUGAUGGGGGCUCGCUGCUCUACCAGUGACACUGCGCAGCCCCUCUGCUGGAAUGGGGAUGCCGCGGGGGAGGGGCGCUCAGGCCCGGGAAUGAGCAACGGGGGGAUUGAUGCUUUGCCUGAGGUCCUUUCUAUACUACUCACAGGUCAGGCCUGUCUUUUGCUUGCCAGCUGCAGCUGCUAUUUAUAAUCCCCUCCCUGUUUGCCAUUCUGCCUGUGACCUGUGGUCAGCUCAAGGCCUGAAUUUAAAAAGAGCUGUUCUACGCUCGAGUUCAAGUCCACCAUUGUGGUUUUCCUUUAGCAGUCUCCAUCUGAAACUCAAGGGUGAGGGCUCCGCAGGUGCCCUCCCCACCCCUCGCUCUCGAAAGAAUGUGGCAAGAAAUGAAGGUGGGAAAGAAUCAAGACGCUCUGGAAAUAACAGACUCCUAACUCUCACUCAAGUUAGCCAGCAAAGAGAGGCUGCUCCAAUCUGGCCGUGGAGACGUGAGGGAGGAUCAUGGGGAGACAGUUGUAUGGAGUCCAGUAAGUACGUUUUGUGACCCCCUGCCCUGCAACUAGCCCUUCUCUGUCUUGGCUUUCUGGAGCCACAUUGUCCUAAAGCCCCUUGAAGUAGGGAGUCAAAGAUGCUGGAAAUACUUUCCAUUCUGAAUUCUGUAGAGCUUCUGAAAGACUGUCAUUUCUUACUACAAUAUACAUGACCAAAGAACCCCAUGGUUAAUAUAAAAGGCCUUUGUGAGGUCAUACGUACCUAUCCAGAGGGAAUGAUUCACUGAGUCUGUCCAGGAUGACAUACAUGAGAAACAUAAAUGGGACAGAAAGAAGAAAGUGGUUUGAUCAGAAAUCAUAGUUUAUGGUUGUUACCAAUUCCGCAAAUCAUAUUCUGCACCUUUGUCCUGGAUUUAGACUACAAAGAAGCACGACAAAUUAUCUCCAAAGAGCUUCUGCAAGGUUAACUCUGGAUUAAAUCGACUCUAUCUCUCAGCAGCUGGUCCCUCUCAUCUCAGAUCAAAAGGAUCUUGAACCUUCUAAGUGAACUGCUGUCAAGCAAACAGCAGGGGAAUCUCUAAUAUUAUUUACAUAACAUUUUCUCUUUUCCAAUUAUGCAUUGGUUUCUUCUUGGUGCAAGCCUAUCUUAUAAAUAUGGAAACCAAGACACAGAGAAAGAAAACAAUGUUUAGGGUCACAUAGAGAGUCAGAGGUGGAACUGGGAAAAGACGAGAGCCUUUUAACUUCAAAUCAGUGUAUCUAGAUACCACCUCUACUUAUUUCAACAAUCCUUUAUAAUCACUAUUCAUCCACCUCCCAAGAACAAAAAGUUAUUUGUGUUGUGCAUGCAGUAAAGCAUGCCAAUAUUACUGGUUUUGCAACCCGGAGAGUUUCUUGGGGCCAGAGGUAACUGGUACAUUUUUGAGGCUGGUAAGUUUGGGGAGCUUAUUUGCAAGAUUCCCCUAAAGUAGGUUUUAUUGUGAAUGGAAGCAAGAGAAGAAUGCCAGUUUGUUCUGGAAUGCUGCCAAUGUCUUGUGUCUCAAGGACUUGUCU
rnacentral:lncRNA from 12 species